UCGGCCCUGAAGCAAGG
rnacentral:misc_RNA from 1 species